UACGUAGGGGGCGAGCGUUGUCCGGAUUUAUUGGGCGUAAAGAGCGUGUAGGCGGCCAGGUAGGUCUGCUGUGAAAACUCGAGGCUCAACCUCGAGACGUCGGCGGAAACCAUCUGGCUAGAGUCCGGAAGAGGAGAGUGGAAUUCCUGGUGUAGCGGUGAAAUGCGCAGAUAUCAGGAAGAACGCCCGUGGCGAAGGCGGCUCUCUGGGACGGUGACUGACGCUGAGACGCGAAAGCGUGGGGAGCGAACAGG
rnacentral:rRNA from 1 species